UACGAGGGGUGCAAGCGUUAUUCGGAAUUAUUGGGCGUAAAGGGUGUGUAGACGGUAUAUUAAGUCUGUUGUUUAAUUCUCCAGCCUAACUGGAGGCCUGCAACGGAAACUGAUAAACUAGAGGGUGAGAGAGAGAAGUGGAAUUCCCGGAGUAGCGGUAAAAUGCGUAGAUCUCGGGAGGAACACCAAUUGCGAAGGCAGCUUCUUGGCUCAUUUCUGACGUUGAGACACGAAAGCGUGGGGAGCAAACAGG
rnacentral:rRNA from 1 species